AGUGAAUAGUGAAAAAAAUAAAUGAGACUAAUGUAUAAAAUAGGAGGUAAUAAUAGAAAUCAGUUUUAUGCUUUCCACUAUUCAUCAUCUUCUUGGACACUAAUAUUUUUCAAAUCCUAAUUUCAUGAACUUCAAGAAUUGAAAUAACUGCUUUCCUCCUCAAACCAUUUGAAACCCAUGCCUCUCAUCCUGUUCUUCGUUGUCUUCGAUUUUCGAAGGAAGACACAACCCUAACCCCAUCUUCUUCAUCUGAUUUCGAAGCAACAAUGUCCUUAUUCAUCUGAUUUCGCUCCUUGUUUUUCUCUCUUCAAAUCUAAAUACCCUUUCAAUUUCUAAGUUUCGAAACCCAAAGCAGCCGACUACUUCCUUCUCUUGAUGAAUCUCAUCUCCUACCUCUGAUGCUUUAAACAAUCCUCUUCCCCAUUUUAGUUUUGAUUUUCGAAAUCCACCAUUGUACCACCUCUGCAAGGUUCUUGUUCCUCAAAUAGGACACAUCAGGGUAAAGCAAGCAUUACUCAUCUUCUACCUCGAAUUUUCGCAAGAGACACAGCAAGUCUUCCCUCCAAGCCUUCGUUCGAUUCUGGCGAAAAAGGAGCAGGAUUCGACCUAGUUGAGGAGCACUUCUAAUCGAUAGCUGUGAUUUAGAUUCGACUCUUUGAAGCAUAUUUUGCAACUGUUUACAGAUCGAAACCGGUCGGGAACGAUGGGUUAAGCGGUGAUGGUUAGAGUUACUUGGAUAUUAAAAUGAGCUGAGUACAUGAGAAUUUGUAGUGUUGUAUUAGGUUUUGAUAAAUGUAUGUUGGACUAGAUUGUAUUAGUUAUGUUGGACUUUCAUAGUGGCUUUUAUGAUUACUUUGUGUUUUAGUUAAGUGUUUAGUUUGAGAAUUAGCUGAUACAGCUAUGUCAUAGAACUGGUGAUCUCUUGCACAAUUUUGAAUUUUAAAUUUGAGUUUCUUGGGAAAUAAACUCCGUGAUGACCCUGUUUACUC